AAAUUGAAGAGUUUGAUCAUGGCUCAGAUUGAAUGCUGGCGGCAGGCCUAACACAUGCAAGUCGAACGGUAACAGGAAACAGCUUGCUGUUUCGCUGACGAGUGGCGGACGGGUGAGUAAUGUCUGGGAAACUGCCUGAUGGAGGGGGAUAACUACUGGAAACGGUAGCUAAUACCGCAUAACGUCGCAAGACCAAAGAGGGGGACCUUCGGG
rnacentral:rRNA from 1 species